UACGUAGGGGGCAAGCGUUGUCCGGAUUCAUUGGGCGUAAAGAGCUCGUAGGCGGUUUGGCAAGUCAGGUGUGAAAUCUCCGGGCUCAACUCGGAGAGGCCACCUGAUACUGCUAUGACUUGAGUCCGGUAGGGGACCAUGGAAUUCCUGGUGUAGCGGUGAAAUGCGCAGAUAUCAGGAGGAACACCGGUGGCGAAGGCGGAUCUCUGGGCCUUACCUGACGCUCAGGCACGAAAGCUAGGGGAGCGAACAGG
rnacentral:rRNA from 1 species